rnacentral:rRNA from 1 species
CGGGGGGAGCAAGCGUUGUUCGGAUUUACUGGGCGUAAAGGGCGCGUAGGCGGCGCAACAAGUCACUUGUGAAAUCUCCGGGCUUAACCCGGAGCGGUCAAGUGAUACUGUCGUGCUAGAGUGCGGAAGGGGCAACUGGAAUUCUCGGUGUAGCGGUGAAAUGCGUAGAUAUCGAGAGGAACACCUGCGGCGAAGGCGGGUUGCUGGGCCGACACUGACGCUGAGGCGCGAAAGCCAGGGGAGCGAACGGGAUUAGAUACCCUGGUAGUCCUGGCCUUAAACGAUGGAUGCUUGGUGUCCGGGGUAAUAAAGUCCCCGGGUGCCGUCGCUAACGCUUUAAGCAUCCCGCCUGGGGAGUACGCACGCAAGUGUG